CAAUCCCUGAGUACAGUGGCGUACGGGUGAGUAACACGUGGAUGAUCUAUCUCUUAGUGGGGAAUAACCCUGGGAAACCGGGGAUAAUACCGCAUAAGCUCGAGAGAGGAAAGCAGCAAUGCGCUGAGAGAGGAGUCCGCGGCCGAUUAGCUAGUUGGCAGGGUAAAAGCCUACCAAGGCAGAGAUCGGUAGCCGGCCUGAGAGGGCACACGGCCACACUGGCACUGAAACACGGGCCAGACUCCUACGGGAGGCAGCAGUGGGGAAUCUUGCACAAUGGGGGCAACCCUGAUGCAGCGACGCCGCGUGAGCGAUGAAGCCCUUCGGGGUGUAAAGCUCUUUCGGCAGGGAAGAUAAUGACGGUACCUGCAGAAGCAGCUGCGGCUAACUACGUGCCAGCAGCCGCGGUAAUACGUAGGCAGCGAGCGUUGUUCGGAGUUACUGGGCGUAAAGGGUGUGUAGGCGGUUGUUUAAGUUUGGUGUGAAAUCUCCCGGCUCAACUGGGAGGGUGCGCCGAAUACUGAAUGACUUGGAGUGCGGGAAAGGAGAGUGGAAUUCCUGGUGUAGCGGUGAAAUGCGUAGAUAUCAGGAGGAACACCGGUGGUGUAAACGGCUCUCUGGACCGUAACUGACGCUGAGACACGAAAGCGU
rnacentral:rRNA from 1 species